UACGUAGGGGGGCAAGCGUUGUCCGGAAUCAUUGGGCGUAAAGAGCGUGUAGGCGGCCCGGUAAGUCCGCUGUGAAAGUCGGGGGGCUCAACCCUCGAAUGCCGGUGGAUACUGUCGGGCUAGAGUGCGGAAGAGGCGAGUGGAAUUCCUGGUGUAGCGGUGAAAUGCGCAGAUAUCAGGAGGGACACCAAUUGCGAAGGCAGCUCGCUGGGACGUAACUGACGCUGAGACGCGAAAGCGUGGGGAGCAAACAGG
rnacentral:rRNA from 1 species